UCUUACAGCAUAUGAGCUCAACAACCACAGAAUGAGGACGGCGCAGCUUUCACUCUUCUUUCUGCUGGUGUGUCAAACUACAGAGAGUUUAAGAGAUAAACGGGCGAAUUUAGGGGAAAAUGUGACUUUAGACUGUCAGAUUGAUGUAAAAGAGAUUUAUUGGGUUUUCCAGAAACCGACAGAUUCUCCAGCGCUUAUAAUGCGGACUUUCUCACCAAAUUAUACAUCACCUCAAUUCUUUGACGAAAGAUUCAAAGUCAAAUACUCAUCACUGACUUUGAGCCGGUUAUUUAUUAGUAACAUUACUAUUGAUGUAUUAGGAAUAUAUUAUUGUCUAAAAACAGGCCCAAUUCUACAGCUCAGCAAUGGCACCAGACUUUACAUCUCUG